UAUCAUACAGAAAAUAAAUUCCAUCAAUUAUAAUACAAAGCUUAAAAAGAAGUAGAGUUUCAUCUUUCUAAUCUUUUUCAUAAAGAUAGAACAACAUCUUGUGUUACUUUCUGAUUUUCAGUCAUCACAAAAUUUCGAGGUUAAUCUGAGGGAUCGUCACUACUAAGCUUACUCUUUGCAACACUAAAGUUACAAUACUAAAUACUAAAAGUGACUAGACUAUGUGUUUAUUAGUCCCCUCAGUAAUACAAACAGUGGCUGAGCUAGAGAUUCUAGAUACGUAUGUGAAAGGCCAAGUGUGAGUCCAGUUCCUGAGAAAGGAAGUUGAUCAUGCAGAAGAGGAUGGCCUCGCUCAACGAUUUUGACAUGUUUAAGCUCAUAAGAGGGCUGGUGUGGUGAGACAGAAGCUAAGAGCUUUUUUAAGUAGUGACACAUUUGGAAAUAUAGAUUACAUUUGAGACUGUUUUAUUCAUCUUUUCCAUUUUUGCUUGUUUUAGACUUGCUGGGAAAUUAUAUUUGUGAUCUAUGAAUGGUGAACUGUUUGUUUCAAAGAAUGUUUUCUCUUAGUUGUUUCA